AGAAAUCGUUAAGGGCGUAUGGCGGAUGCCUAGGCUUUCAGAGGCGACGAAGGACGUGG
rnacentral:rRNA from 1 species